CCCUGGGAACUAAUUAAUCAAACGUACGUAUAAUCCUCUCCUCUGUUAAUGGAGCAGCACGCCGUUGCUAGUACUACUCGGCAGCUGCAGCCGCCGUCUCUGCUCGCGGCGGCCGUCCUGGUCUUCUUCCUCCUCCUCGUCUUCUCCCCGCAUCCUCUCGAGGCCCGCGCACUGCCUUACGGGGAGGGAGGAGUGCUGGCGGCAAGCCAUGGCGGGCGGCGAGUACUUCUGCAGAGAUCGGCGCCGCCGCCUCCGGCUCCGGCAUCCGGUGGACCCAUCCUUCCCAGUCUCCCGUACAAAAAUCCCCCACCGCCGCCGAUGUGAUAUGAUCGAUGGCCAUGCGAAGCGUGCGGAUCUAGCAGCGGCUCCGGCUCGGAUUGUGCCCCGGCCGUCUCGGAAAACUAGCAGACACGGCCGUGCAAUCAGAAGAAUAUAAGCUUAAUCGGACGCGUAAUAGUAAUGAUUUUUUUGAAGCUUUUUAAGUAGCUCUGUAUUAUGGAGUGGUAGAAUUUUUUGAGAGGAAGUUAAUUAGUGUUACGAGCCCACUAGGGCACGGCA